CAGGUGUGGUUUCAAAAUUGCAGAGCACGCCAUAAGAAACACGUUAGUCCUAAUCAUUCAUCUACUGCUCCUAUCACAGCAGUUCAGCCCUCCAGGCUGUCUCCACCCAUGUUAGAAGAAAUGGCGUACUCUGCAUACGUACCCCAGGACGGGACUAUGUUAACUGCUCUACACAGCUAUAUGGAUGCUCAUUCACCUACAGCUCUUGGACUCCAGCCUUUGCUACCCCAUUCAAUGACACAACUGCCAAUAAGUCACACCUAAUUCCUUUCUGUCAGGGAUAUAAGCUAUUAAGGAUGUAACCUUAAGUCAUUUAUUGUGAAUUAAAAAUAUCAUUGGAAAGAUAUUAAUGUUAACUUUUUAUUUAACAUCUAAAGCAUUUUCAAGAUCAUUUUUGCUGCCCAGGUACGUAAGUAUAUUUAGCCUGCAAGACACUUUUAUGGAUUCUGCAUAAAUAACUAUUACAUUGUUUACAAGCCUUAUUAAACACCUUUUUGUAUUGUCUGGAAGUAGUCCACUCUAGUUAUGUGUGUGUUAAUUUAUUUGUCAUCAAAAGAGCACUUUGCCUAAAAGAAAGGACUGACAAUUGUGCAAAAUGUUUACAAUUCUUUGUGAAAUUGUAGUUUAUCAUUAGUUUGUAUCUGUAAGUUAUUGCUGAAAGUAUUACCUGUAUUUGAGUUGUAUACAGCCUAUAUGUUAAAGCUUAUUUCUGUGAGUUUACAAAAAUAAAUUUUGGUUGCAAAUAUUUUCAAAAUGAACUGAAUAAAGUUUCUGCUGUAGCAUGCUAA